GAUGAACGCUGGCGGCGUGCUUAACACAUGCAAGUCGAACGGAAAGGCCCAAGCUUGCUUGGGUACUCGAGUGGCGAACGGGUGAGUAACACGUGGGUGAUCUGCCCUGCACUUCGGGAUAAGCCUGGGAAACUGGGUCUAAUACCGGAUAGGACGAUGGUUUGGAUGCCAUUGUGGAAAGUUUUUUCGGUGUGGGAUGAGCUCGCGGCCUAUCAGCUUGUUGGUGGGGUAAUGGCCUACCAAGGCGUCGACGGGUAGCCGGCCUGAGAGGGUGUACGGCCACAUUGGGACUGAGAUACGGCCCAGACUCCUACGGGAGGCAGCAGUGGGGAAUAUUGCACAAUGGGCGCAAGCCUGAUGCAGCGACGCCGCGUGGGGGAUGAAGGCAUUCGGGUUGUAAACUCCUUUCGCUAGGGACGAAGCGUUUUUGUGACGGUACCUGGAGAAGAAGCACCGGCUAACUACGUG
rnacentral:rRNA from 1 species